UUGAAUUCGUCCGCGAGGCGGCUGAGCGGAGCGAGUUUGAAACAAGUGGAGAAGUAAACCAGGAGACUGAGUUGAGAAAAUCAAACGGUAACAAUUCACAAUGAUACGACCUAACUGUAAGAGAAGGUCAGAGGGCAGCCCUGCCCAGGGGGACGACUGUACAGAGGUACACUGGACAGACGUGGAGACCAGGGUAAGAGAAGGUCAGAGGGCAGCCCGGCCCAGGGGGACGACCGUACGGAGGGACACUGGACAGACGUGGAGACCAGGGUAAGAGAAGGUCAUCAGAGGGCAGCCCGGCCCAGGGGGACGACCGUACGGAGGGACACUGGACAGAAGUGGAGACCAGGGUAAGAGAAGGUCAUCAGAGAGCAGCCCGGCCCAGGGGGACGACCGUACGGAGGGACACUGGACAGACGUGGAGACCAGGGUAAGAGAAGGUCAUCAGAGGGCAGCCCGGCCCAGGGGGACGACCGUACGGAGGGACACUGGACAGACGUGGAGACCAGGGUAAGAGAAGGUCAUCAGAGGGCAGCCCUGCCCAGGGGGACGACCGUACGGAGGGACACUGGACAGACGUGGAGACCAGGGUAAGAGACGGUCAUCAGAGGGCAGCCCUGCCCAGGGGGACGACCGUACGGAGGGACACUGGACAGACGUGGAGACCAGGGUAAGAGACGGUCAUCAGAGGGCAGCCCUGCCCAGGGGGACGACUGUACGGAGGGACACUGGACAGACGUGGAGACCAGGGCAAGAGAAGGUCAUCAUUGGGCAGCCCUGCCCAGGGGGACGACCGUACGGAGGGACACUGGACAGACAUGGAGACCAGGGUAAGAGAAGGUCAGAGGGCAGCCCUGCCCAGGGGGGCGACCGUACGGAGGGACACCGGACAGACGUGGAGACCAGGGUAAGAGACGGGGUUUCACUCACUACACUGGCUAUUGUACUGUUUUUAGUCUGGUCCCAGAUCAGAUCUCGUAUGGUCAUUGUCGCCCUUGACUGACCAAAGGGAGUUUUCAAGACCGCGCAAUCCCAUCUCGUACCAGGCUGUCAUCAUAACCAUUCUAGAAGCUUCCACAUUGUGUGUUCCAGGGCUGGAUGGAUCCAGGGUCCAGGCUACCAGCACCAUGGAUAUCAGAGGCGCAGAAAGCCCCGAGAUGGUCCAGUCCUGUGCUGUCUGAGCUGCUCCAUACACCUCAUCCCCUCCCUCCUCAUCCCCUCCCUCCUCAAACCUCACCCCCUCCCUUCUCAAACAUCCCUCCCUCCUCACCCUCAACCCCUUCCCUCC